GUGGGUGUAGCUCAGAGAUUAGAGCACGUGCUACGAACCACGGUGUCGGUUCGAAUCCUCCUCGCCACA
rnacentral:tRNA from 1 species